rnacentral:rRNA from 1 species
GAUGAACGCUGGCGGCGUGCCUAAUACAUGCAAGUCGAGCGAACAGACGAGGAGCUUGCUCCUUUGACGUUAGCGGCGGACGGGUGAGUAACACGUGGGUCACCUACCUAUAAGACUGGGAUAACUUCGGGAAACCGGAGCUAAUACCGGAUCAUAUUUCGAACCGCAUGGUUCGAUAGUGAAAGAUGGCUUUGCUAUCACUUAUAGAUGGACCUGCGCCGUAUUAGCUAGUUGGUAAGGUAACGGCUUACCAAGGCAACGAUACGUAGCCGACCUGAGAGGGUGAUCGGCCACACUGGAACUGAGACACGGUCCAGACUCCUACGGGAGGCAGCAGUAGGGAAUCUUCCGCAAUGGGCGAAAGCCUGACGGAGCAACGCCGCGUGAGUGAUGAAGGUCUUCGGAUCGUAAAACUCUGUUAUUAGGGAAGAACAAACGUGUAAGUAACUGUGCACGUCUUGACGGUACCUAAUCAGAAAGCCACGGCUAACUACGUG